UGGGGAAUUUUGGACAAUGGGGGAAACCCUGAUCCAGCCAUCCCGCGUGUGCGAUGAAGGCCUUCGGGUUGUAAAGCACUUUUGGCAGGAAAGACACGUCAUGGGUUAAUACCCCGUGAAACUGACGGUACCUGCAGAAUAAGCACCGGCUAACUACGUGCCAGCAGCCGCGGUAAUACGUAGGGUGCAAGCGUUAAUCGGAAUUACUGGGCGUAAAGCGUGCGCAGGCGGUUCGGAAAGAAAGAUGUGAAAUCCCAGAGCUCAACUUUGGAACUGCAUUUUUAACUACCGGGCUAGAGUGUGUCAGAGGGAGGUGGAAUUCCGCGUGUAGCAGUGAAAUGCGUAGAUAUGCGGAGGAACACCGAUGGCGAAGGCAGCCUCCUGGGAUAACACUGACGCUCAUGCACGAAAGCGUGGGGAGCAAACAGG
rnacentral:rRNA from 1 species